rnacentral:tRNA from 1 species
GGGCUCGUAGUUCAGUUGUAUAGAACAACCGCCUUCUAAGCGGUAAGUCGCAGGUUAGAGUCCUGCCGGGCCCG